GCAGUGAUGAAAAAAUUACUUCCUUGCGUAGGAUCCGUGUCUUGCAUAAAGAAAUCUCGGUCGCGGUUCGUAAUAUAGCUUGAUC
rnacentral:snoRNA from 1 species